CACCAGGCAUAUUCCAAGGCUCCGAUCACAUCCUGUCUGCUAAUAUCUCAUUGGCUACGACAAUUCAUAUGGCCAAGUCCAGAGUAAAGGAGAAGGGAAGAACACCCUACUCACCAGGAGACCACUCCAAAGGUCACCAGCCAAUUUACAGGCAAUGGACUCUCUUAAACCCCAAGCUGACUCUGCCUCCAUCAGCUGUGACAAAGGUGGCUGAGGUCACCACCAUGAAAUCUACAUGAAGCAUGAAAAUCUACACAUAAGGCAUUCCUCCUGUCAGCUUUUGCCAGGUCAUGUGGCCAACAUCCUACGAGGACCUGAAUCCUGCCAACAGCCACAUGAAUGAGCUUGGAAGUGGAUCUCGCCCCAGCAGCAGAACCUUGAGAUGACUGAAGCCAGUGCAGAAAUGGUGGUCAUAGAUUUGUAGGAGACCCUGAGCCAGCAGACCCAGCUCUGCCCAGGUUCCUGACCCACACACAGCAACUUCGAGA